CAAUAGCGUAUAUUAAAGUUGUUGCAGUUAAAAAGCUCGUAGUUGAAUUUCUGGCGGGCGCGCCGGUCUUCCAAGUGUUGUACUGGGCGCAGUCCGCCAUCCUUGUGGAGAGGGCUCGCAUUGAGUUGCGUGUCGGAUCUGCAUCAUUUACUGUGAAAAAAUUAGAGUGUUUAAAGCAGGCUGUCGCUUGAAUACAUUAGCAUGGAAUAAUAAGAUAGGACUUCGGUCUAUUUUGUUGGUUGCGAACCGAGGUAAUGAUUAAUAGGGAUAGUUGGGGGUAUUCAUAUUUAAUUGUCAGAGGUGAAAUUCUUGGAUUUAUGAAAGAUGAACAACUGCGAANGNAUUUAGNAAGGAUGUUUNCAUUA
rnacentral:rRNA from 1 species